GACGAACGCUGGCGGCGUGCUUAACACAUGCAAGUCGAACGGAAAGGCCCUGCUUUUGCGGGGUGCUCGAGUGGCGAACGGGUGAGUAACACGUGAGUAACCUGCCCUUGACUUAGGGAUAACUUUAGGAAACUGGGGCUAAUACCGGAUAGGAGCUCCCGCUGCAUGGUGGGGGUUGGAAAGUUUCGGCGGUUGGGGAUGGACUCGCGGCUUAUCAGCUUGUUGGUGGGGUAGUGGCUUACCAAGGCUUUGACGGGUAGCCGGCCUGAGAGGGUGACCGGCCACGUUGGGACUGAGAUGCGACCCAGACUCCUACGGGAGGCAGCAGUGGGGAAUAUUGCACAAUGGGCGGAAGCCUGAUGCAGCACCGCCGCGUGCGGUAUGACGGCCUUCGGUUUGUAUUCCGCUUUCGCCUGUGACGAAGCGUGAGUGACGGUAAUGGGUAAAGAAGCACCGGCUAACUACGUG
rnacentral:rRNA from 1 species